UCUAGUACUACUACAUCUGUACACCCAAAAGAAAAUCUAGUCUGUUAUUUGUAUUUCUGUUCGGUAAAAAUGAGUUCACAAUCUCAACGCUCUGCCUCUAGGAGUGAUUCUAAAAAAGAGCACGAUAGCAUAAGCAAUUAUCUGGGCAACAAGGCAGAUUCUGCUGCCUCUAGGAAUGAUUCUGAGAAAAAGCAUGAUAGCACAAGCAAUCAUUUGGGAAACAAGGCAGAUCCCAUAGGAAAAACGGGUUCUAAGAAAAGCCAAGGUCGAUAUUAACUCUUGGCUUUACUCAUGCAGGUUAAAACAAUAUGAAAUGGCAAAUAGGUUUAUUUGCAAGUGGAACUUAUGUGGGAUUAAAGUUUACAACAAAUUGUACUAUUAGUUGUUAUAGAUUCAAUGUUUGUUUCUUAAUUACUUGUUUAGACUCUAAAACUAUUUAUAAAUAAAAUAUUAUAAAUACGAAGAACUUCAUAUUAA